CCUACGGGUGGCAGCAGUGAGGAAUAUUGGUCAAUGGGCGUUAGCCUGAACCAGCCAAGUAGCGUGAAGGAUGAAGGUUCUAUGGGUCGUAAACCUCUUUUAUAUGGGAAUAAAGUGCGGGACGUAUCCCGUUUUGUAUGUACCUUAUGAAUAAGGAUCGGCUAACUCCGUGCCAGCAGCCGCGGUAAUACGGAGGAUCCGAGCGUUAUCCGGAUUUAUUGGGUUUAAAGGGUGCGUAGGCGGCCUUUUAAGUCAGUUGUGAAAGUCUGUGGCUCAACCGUAGAAUUGCCGUUGAAACUGGGAGGCUUGAGUAUGUUUGAGGUAGGCGGAAUGCGUGGUGUAGCGGUGAAAUGCUUAGAUAUCACGAAGAACCCCGAUUGCGAAGGCAGCUUGC
rnacentral:rRNA from 1 species